UGGGGAAUCUUGCGCAAUGGGCGAAAGCCUGACGCAGCCAUGCCGCGUGAAUGAUGAAGGUCUUAGGAUUGUAAAAUUCUUUCACCGGGGACGAUAAUGACGGUACCCGGAGAAGAAGCCCCGGCUAACUUCGUGCCAGCAGCCGCGGUAAUACGAAGGGGGCUAGCGUUGCUCGGAAUUACUGGGCGUAAAGGGCGCGUAGGCGGAUCGUUAAGUCAGAGGUGAAAUCCCAGGGCUCAACCCUGGAACUGCCUUUGAUACUGGCGAUCUUGAGUAUGAGAGAGGUAUGUGGAACUCCGAGUGUAGAAGUGAAAUUCGUAGAUAUUCGGAAGAACACCAGUGGCGAAGGCGACAUACUGGCUCAUUACUGACGCUGAGGCGCGAAAGCGUGGGGAGCAAACAGG
rnacentral:rRNA from 1 species